UUGUAUGGGGGAGGAGAGGAGAGAGAGAGAGGAACCUUGGCAUUCAUUCUAGGGACAGCACAGAGCAAAUAUUAGAGCAUUGUCAUAUUUUUGGAGGUAUCAACACUCAUAAAGACAAGAUAUUAAGAUAGAAGAAUGAAAUACAUGAAAGUAGAAAGAGGAAAGAAUUGCAUCACUAACAUAUGUCAAAGAAGAGACACAAAGAUAGUAAGAAAGAAUGAAUUAGAUGAAAGAAAGAAGAAUCAAUCCACAAAUAGACAAGAUAUUAAGAUAGAAGAUUGAAAGAAGAAAGAAGGAAAGAAUCACCCCACUAACACAGGUCAAUGAAAAAAGAGACAUAAAGAAAGUAAGAUAGAAUGAAUUAGAUGAAAGAAGAAUCAAUCCACAAAUAGACAAGAUAUUAAGAUAGAAGAUUGAAAGAACAAGGAAAGAAUCACCCCACUAACAUAGAUCAAAGAAGGAAGAGACAGAAAGAUAGUAAGAAAGAAUGAAUUAGAUGAAAGAAAGAAGAAUCAAUCCACAAGCAGACAAGAUAUAAAGAUAGAAGAUUGAAAGAAGAAUGAAGAAGGAAUCACCCCACUAACACAGGUCAAUGAAAGAAGAACCAUACUGCGAAAAUACAACUUUUUAUUAUGAUUAGUCUACAAAAUACUGAAUAUACAGGUGUGUGUGAAUGAGAUUGUUAUAAUUAGUAGCUACACCCUUACACCCACACCCAUCACCAUUGUUAUUACACCAAACUACUGAUCAACUGACUGACUCACCAACUGACUGACUUAACAAUUGACUGACUCACCAAUUGACUGACUCACUGAUUGACUGAUUCACCAAUUGACUGACUCACCGAUUGACUGAUUCACCAAUUGACUGACUCACCAAUUGACUGACUCACCAAUUGACUGACUCACCGAUUGACUGAUUCACCAAUUGACUGACUCACCAAUUCGCGUCAAGUGUAGAAAUUCUCGACUCAUAUACACAAAGAAAUUCACUUAUAUCCAAACUUUCAAACAUGUGAUCGGAAGCUGGCAUACUUUUUUGAACACCCUGUAGUAGUAGUAGUUGGCGGAGUGACUUAGACUUUUGGAAAUGCUGUAGGAGGCUAAUAUAGUGCUUGUUUGCUUGCUUGUUUGUUUGUUUUGUAAUUAUGUAACUGUGUUUUUAAGAGCAUAGCAAAAUGGUGGUUUGAAGCAUACUUUUUUUGACACACUGUAGUAAACUCAUGGCUAAACUUAUACUUUUGUUUAAUGCUGUUGUGUGCAAAGUUAUAGACUGAAAUAUACUUUUUUUGACGGACUGUAGCAAAACCAUGGCUUCAUUUAAACAUAUACUAAAAAACUCACUGACUGAAUACUUCUGAACACACUGUAGCACACUUAUUUAAAGACAUACAAGUGAAAGCAUUGCCUGGGAGAAACUUCUGAGCAUACUGUAGUUAGAUAGACGCCUAUUGUUUUGUUUUUGUUUUGUUCUUUCUCAUUAUAUUAUUAUACGUGAAGUGACUAUUUUUUUUCUUCUUUUGUUUCUUGGAAUAUUGUGACACUGCUAACCAACACACACACACACACACACUUACGUACACUAACAAAUCACACUUCUAAUCACUCACUCACACUUACACACACUGAAUCACACUUUAUUUUAUACAGGGAAGUGUCUAAUACACCUUUUUUUCAUCUUUCAACAUUGAGCUGCGAACUGUAUAAUGGAUUUGACGGUCAACAGAAACUCACUGUACAUUUUCUUUACGCAAACCCAAACAGCAAAUCAGGGAGGUGGGCCAUGGAGGAAAAGAAGAAGAGGAAGAAGAAGAAGAAGAGGAAAGAAGAGGAGGUAAGGAGAAGAAGAAGUAGAAAAAUGAAGAAGAAAAUUAAGAAGAUGAAGAAGAAAAAGACAUCAAAGAAAGAGAGUUUACGAGCCAGCAACAAAGAAAAUAAUGAAGACAAAGAGGAAAUCAAAGAAGAAAGAGAAGAAGAGGAAAAGAAGGAAAAGAAACAGGAUAAAGAAAGGAAAGUUGGAGAGACAAGUGAAGAAAAGGAACCAGAGGAAAACAAAGAAGAAGAACAAGAAGAACGAGAUAAAAAACAAGAACAAGAAGGAAGAAGAAAAAAUUAAGUGUUAAGUACAGGAGAAAGAAUAAGAGGGAAAAGAAUAGAAUAAAAGAAACAAGAGUAAGAAGAGAGAUAUAGAAAGAAAUAAUAAUAAUAAUAAUAAAGAAAUCAAGUCUUUUAAUCACAAUAACAGGAAAAAUCACAGAAGAAACCAUUGAUGAGGAUGAAGCAGAAGAAGGG